UUUUUUUUUUUUUUUUUAAGAAGAAAGCACCAUGGUUUUCUUUCUUUCUUUUUUUUUUUUUGUGUGUGUGUUUUUGUUUUGUUUUGUUUGGUGGUGGAUAAAUAAUACUAAAAGGAGUCUAGUGAAAAGGGAAAAAAAAAAAAUCAAAGAGCAGGGGUGUUGUGGAUUUCCAGGUACUUGGACUUUUUGUAGAAGGAGAAAGAAGUGGAUGAAGUUUGCUGGGAGGGCCCAUAUUUUUUCAGCUGAAAGGUAAAAUCUUUCUUUGCAGAGACAGUAUUUUGCUGAAUACUUUUUAUAAUGUGAUGAUUAUUAAAAACAAAAAUUUUGGUCACUUCAAAGCUAGAAGGAGGAAUCAGAUAUCCUUUAAUAUUUUUUCCUUGCUCCUUCUGGUAUAUGCAUGUCACUGCAUGAUAACUCUGAGUUUUCCUUUGUUUUAAUAAAACUGUUCUCAGACGUUUAAGCUAAACUAAGAGAAAAAUAACUUUGUUGCCAAAAGGUUGUGCUAUCCAGAUUUUUUAUAUGUCUGCAUGUUUUAAAAAAACACAACAAAAGAAAAUGCACUCUAACUUAUGUGAACUGAGAGAAAAAAAAUCAGGUUUUAAACAGGAAAACCUAUGGGGAAUGAUAUUUUUUGAAAGACUUUUGUAUAAAGUUGAGUACUUAGAAAAAGACAAACCAGAUGUAAUAUAUUUUGUGGAUGUUUUUAUUUCUUGGAUUUAUAGUACCUUAUACUAAGGUUAAAAAAAUAUGCUUGAUAUUGUGAAAAGGUGAAAUUCUUCACCAACAUUUCAUUUGCUCCUUUGUCACAUUGUUAUGCCAAUAUAAUAUAGUUAAUGAAAACAGCAUUUUUAAAAACCGAAAUAUUGAAAUGGUGUAAUGUUGUACCAUUUGCACUGUGAGCAAAUGCUAAUACAGUAAAUAUAUUGUGUUUGCUGACAAUCAGCCGGCCUAUAAAUCUCCUUAUUUUAUUUCUUGUUUUCAUAGCAUAAAGUUUUGGUUUGGCCUGGUUUUUGUCUUGUUUUGUUUUUGGCUGGUGGUUGGAUAGGUUCUUAUGCCUCGUUUUGUGAUUCUUGCUCUGAAACCCCUCAUCGUGGAAAUGUGGAAUCUGGCAUUAUUAGAAGUUGUUCAGAAUUUUGUGCGGGUUCUGGUGUUUCAAAUUCAGUGUUGAGUGUUUACUGUGGUUCUAAGAGAAUUCCACUGUGGUUCUAAGGAUUCUCUUCCAUACUUCUGGGAGCUUCAAACUCCCAGAAAGAGCAGGGGAAUCGGGGCUAGUGACUGGAACCUUCUAGAAUCCUCCUCUCCAGUGGGUAUUUGAGGUUGGAAGGGAAGGGAAUCUCCUGGUUUAUGAACUAUUUAUCUAAUGGUCGCAGGGAGCACCAGAACAGGGCCCAGGAGGAUCUCUGCAGCCACAGUGAAUAGUGCCCCUGCCAGAGCUUUCAAAGCCUGAAAAACAGGUGGAGAAUUGCGAAGGGUUCUUGAGGGUUAGCAAGAUACCCAAAGAGAUGAGUAGCUCUUUUGUGAUCAAAUAAUUGGCAAAAAAAUCAGGUUUACAGGCUCUGCAAGUCAGUUCCCCUUGGACAGGCUUCUCCAGGCCUCACUAUUCACAGCUGCCUGAGAAAGGUGGUCCUGGUUGAAAACACAGCUCUUAUGAACCACCCAAGUGUUCAAUGCUUAGAAGAAAGAACACAGGGACCAUUUUAUAUAGCAGUAAUCCCGCUCAUCUUAUGAUUUUACCCCUCCUAGAAGUGAUACUUCCCUACUCUGUGAGCUUUCUUCUCCAGAACCUUCCUUUGCCCUAACUGGCUUUCUUUGCCAGCCCCAGAGCUUUCUCCAUUUCUCUUAAAGAGAUAUGUACCCUCUACCUCUUCUGUCCACGUCUCUAGCCUGCUCCCUUCCCCUUAUUUCCCACAGUUUUUAGAGUCCUUUAUUUAUCCCUGUAAGCCGUGUUCUAGAACAGUCUUUCUCUCUUGCCUGCCCUCUAAAACACUCACUUGGGUUUCUCUGCCAUGCAUUUUGCAUGUGAUCUGCCUCAGCAACGUUUAGGGGCUUAGUGUACGAUGAUGCAGAGCUGUGUCGGCAUAGCAGGACAUCGUGACUCGGGGGCAGCGCCUCAACACCUGAGCUGCCAGCCAGGCCAGCCAUACUGUGAUAGAAGUGUACUGUGGUGUCCCUGCUCGGAAACUGCUCUUGUCAUACCCCCGACCCCUCCAUGCAGGUCCAUCCUAGUGGAAAAUGUGGGUGGUAUUUCUGGUUGGCUAGAGUUGCUGUGAUAUAGUUGAUGUGAUGUCGAGGGCAGACCCGAGUGGAGGAGUUGGGCUGUGACCCUCGAAAAGAAUGCUUUUGAAGUGAGAGAUCAAUAAGGAGAAUGCGGUAUGCAAUCCGAAAUUUUCUCAUCCACACGGUUCUAGGUCACUGGCUGCCAUCUGGAAUUCCCUUCUCUCGUGUCAUGACACUUUAACGCUCCCAUCUGCAACUUUGUGUAUAGCCAUGAGGAGGUAGCCCCUGAGAGGGAGUCCAAGAUGGCCAAAAAGUCCCAGGGAUGGAGCAUGUCAUAUCCGUCUCCUUGCUAAACUAGAUCUCCCCUUCCAGGUUUCUAUGUGUUUUCAAGUGAAUAUUAUCCGAGGGAGAUAGCAUCACUGGAUGUCUUCGCGGUUAGCACUCAGCCCCACCUGCACCUUCUCCAAGCAGACCCAGCCCUCAGAGUGACACUUUCGUCAGCAGUGUACUAUGCUGCCUGAUUAACAGACUCACUUCCCAUUGGUGCAUAUUACUCAACCCAACCUGGUUUAACCACUGGGUUACUUGGCAAUAUGGCAGCCGCCUGGCUGGCACCAGCCCUGGGUGGUGUAAUCUCUGAUUCACGCUUUGGAGCUAGAUAAGACUGCCCCAGAUAGCAUCACACUGGCAACCCAACCUGCCUGGGUUUUGUAAACAGGUGAGAGGAGACUCAACCCUGAAACUUAGGGGUGAGGUGGGAAGACGGUAGAGGAAAGGCCUGGACGUGGCCAUCAUGAGAAGGAAUCAGUGGAGGGUUGGCGAAGAAGAGGCCCAGGAGCCAAAUCAGAUUGAGUGUGUGUGUGUGUCUGUGUAUUAUUCACAAGUACAUAAAAAGGAAUGAGAAGGUGGAUUCUGGUGAAUGAAGACAAUAGCUUAUGGCCGGUCAUUACUGAUCCCCUUUUGCUAAUCCAGAAUUUGUUGCCAAAGAGGAGGGUUUUAUGAGCUGCGUUUUCCUGCCUUGAUUGGCUCCCCUGGUGUCCUGGGAUAAUAAACCUGGGGAAAGUAGGAGGCCUCCGUAUGUCCCAAAGACUAGCAAUCAUACUGGCAAAAACUUAACGACUAGAGGGACAUGACUUUCGAGAAGGCACGGGGAGGUUCUAAAAAUAGGUCAUAAUCUUAAACCUAUCCCGUGCAUCUUUCUAGAAAACCCAUUCUUUAUGCAGAAAGGAAUGAGGUCUCCAGAAGAAGAGGAAAGAUCUGAGUGACCCUGGGAGCCCCUUGGUCACAGCAGCAUAGCCCUGAGGACAUAGUCACCCCCUGCCCCUGUCAGACUUCUGCCAAGGCCGGGAACGUGUCUGGCCUCAUUAGCUUCCCCCGGCAUCCCAGCUCUUGAAAUUCCACCACUCCUUUUGGUUGAAGCUUCCCAUCUAUACCAUCGCUAAUAUUUUCCACGAUGAUUAUUGUCACAGCCCUGUGCAAGAGAAGAGGUGGGCCGUGGUUGGGGCACAUGCUGUGGGCCUUUCCCCAGCUUGCACUAAAGUCUCUGACAUGCACAGGCCCAAGCAGAAAGGGACCCAACCUUGACUCUCCUGCCUGGGAUCCUCAUUCCUCAUCCUCAUCAUGCUUCAUCUGGGGCAUGGACCUGGAGCCAUCCCUGCCUCCACCCCUGCUAGCCACCAGGGGCACAGCACUCCUCUGCCCCCUGACCUGGGUGUCAAAACACCAUUUCUGGCAAGCACGCGAUGGCUAAAAGGAAGGUUUUGGAGCAAUCUUACUAAGGAAAUAAUGCAAACAGAUCAUGGCCACAAAGCUACACACAAGAAUCUACAAGGUUCUAGAUGGCGCCAGCUACUCAACUAAAUGUGGGGCUGGUUUGCUGAGAUCCUGCUCUGGUCUCCAGGUUUCUGGAUGAAGAAGGCACUCGCUGGGCCUGGAAGUAUAUUUCCUGGAGCUCAGGCACCCUACCCUACUUCUGCAGUCUCCUUCACUCAUUCCUGGGGGCUCCAAGACUACAUCCUCCAGGCGCAUUGCUGCUCCAAUGAUGCUCUCCUUCUGCGUGGAGUGCCAUCACUAGUUCUUUGGGCUGGCCCUCCCCAGGAGGCCUGCCCAGGCCCCACAGUCAUCUUCCCCCUGGACCUUUCAUAGUGGCAUCAUGACCCAACCAGAAACAGAUGCUCUUUUUGGACCCAGCUAGCAGCAGACUUGAAUUCCCUUUGGGGUUACCCACCAAGUUCCUAGGUAGAAGCUCAGAAAUUCUUCCACCUCUCAGCUCCCUGGAGGAAAAGAGAUGACCUGCCUCCCUGAGGCUGGGGACACCCCUACCCUCCAUGGGGAAGUUACCCUUGUCUGUGGACCUGCAUUCUCUGGGGUGACUCACCCCAGGGGUUGACCACCUGCCCGGGAGGGAUCAGGUCUUGGUUUCCAUCAAAGGCAAAGAGAUUAGUGAGUAGAACAGAACUGGGCCUCCAGGAAGGCUGGCUUCUUCUCAAGGAUGGGUUGCUAGAGCUCUGGCACUUUUACUCCCGAGCGUUGUGCCCCUCCAGGUGGUCCAGGUGCCUAAAGGUCUUCCAUUCUUUCUUAUUCCCUUCCUCCCCACAGCUUAGGAAGGCCAAGCCACCCGAGCAGGAAGGUAGAAAAUUUCUGUUUCCUGUGCAACACCAGAGUACUAAGAAAAGCUUUCUUGCGAGUUCUUGGUACUUACUUGGGCCUCUGCCCUGCAAAUUGAGAGGCAGUUUGAUAACCCAGCAGCUACUCCGGCUUCUCCUUUGGGGCCCUUUACCUGCUUUGGAAUCAUCUCCGUCACCUCUAUUCUAGAUCUGAGUCCCAGCUCGGCCACUUUCUUGCAGUGUGACUGUCGGCAUGUUUUUAGUCUCUCUGGACCUCACUUUCCGCUUGUCUGAUCACGGCCCCUGGGGGAGUCAAAUGAGGUGACGUAUAUCGUGCCUGGGUCAGUGUGGAUGCUCCAUAAAGGUUGCUUAUCUUUCUCGUCCCUUGCCCUGCCCCCUCUCCCCAUCCUGCAAACACAGAUGUGAGAAAGAGGGCUCUGUCUCUACCAGCCAGAGGCCCUUGCCAUCCUCACGACCACACCCAACCCCAGCCCCCCACUGGACAUCUGUGUUCUUAAAAUGGGUCUGCUCUACCCCCCCAAUGCCCCCUUCCCCGAUCUACCCAGAGGACAUGAGUCCUGUCCCCUCUUGGCCACAGCUACUGCUCAUUGUGGCCAUUUCCUGGCCUGGUUCCUGACUCCUUCCCAGCUCCUUUUGUCUCUCUCACUUGGUUGGGUGGAUGUAACACCUUCCUGAUCCAGUAUCAUCUGCAAAGUUAGUUAAUGUGUCAUUGGGCUGUUGCCUGCUUCCUGAUCCUUAUCAGAGAUUUAAAUAAAACGCAGCAGCCCCAGCUCUUCCCUGAUCAUCCCUCACCCCGGAUCUGAGGCUUGUUCUUAGUCAUCCAGUCCCUGACCUCAACCUUCUGGCCAGUUCUCAGCUUCCAGCCCCAGGGCUUGUGGCACUGCCUCCACCCAACCCUAGUUCAGGAGCAGAAGCGCCACCCAGGGUUUUGACGGCAGUGGUGUUCUAUGAGAGAAUCGGGAAUGUCGGGGUCCUUACAGCAUCCUGCCCCCUUGGGCAGCUUCCCCUAGAUUUUGUAGAGUCACAGGGGACCUUGAGAGGCCACUUAGUCCAAUGUACUCCUUUUCAGGUCAGGAAAUAGAGGCCUCCAGAAGUCCCAUGAUUUGCCCAAAAUCCCACAUCCAGUAAAGGCAGAGCCAGGAUUUCAGAUCCAGACUCUCAGUGGAGGGUCCCCUAGAAAGGGGGCUGAUGGCUUUAUGUACAUACAUAUGUGUUGAAGGAUACGGUGGUGAACGGCGACAGCAAAAAUCCCUCCAUUUUCCAAGACCCUCUUCACCAGGGCAGACACGGGUAAAAACAAACAGGCAGAAUCGUCUGCUGUCACAUUAUGCUAUGUGUCAUGGGGAAAAAUGCAGCAGAGUAAGAAUGGGGAGUGGUGGCUUGCAGGUUACAGUAACACGUUGGAUGGCACAGGGCAGCCUCAGGGGGAAGGGUCCUUUGUGCACGGACACCAGAAGUGAUGGAGCUGGCCACGCCUGGACCUCUGGGCCACAGCGCCAGGCAGAGGGGGCAGCGAGUGUCAAGAUCCUGACCGUGGUGUUCUGGGACUUUUCAAGGAAUCACGUGGCGCUGAGUGAUUGGAAGCAAGCGAGGAAAGGGAUCCGCCAGAGGAAGCAGUUGGAAAGGCAGAGGGCCCAGAUCACAGAGAAAGUAAACAAACUGCAAAGACGGAUGGUCAGAGAGGGCCUCUCCCGAUCUCCAGGGACAGCCAUGACCUGGCCCUGGGCUGAGGGGCCGUGGGACAGGCGCCCUCUCCCUCUGCCCAGGCUGCCUCUCCUGUCGGCCUUCAAACCCCACUUUCUCUGCUUGGCUUCCUCAUCACCCUGGCUGCAGGCUUCUUAACCUUUCCUCCAUGUCCUCUCAGAGGCCCACGAUGGUCCCUAAACUCCAGCUCAUCCAAGGAGAGACAGAACAGCCUCCUUCGAGAACCACAGCCUGAGAACGAACCCUUACGCUUGCUGUUGACAUUUGCCUUGGUGCCAAGGUCCUAAUAAGACGGCUGACUCUUCCUGCUGCCCAGCCUCAGAAUGGGAAUCUCCCUUGGCCUUAUGUCUCAGAAACUGCUCCUGAAAGCCAGCUCCCUCCUUCAUCUGUGGCUGGAUUGGCCAUGUUUCCUGCCUUGGCGAAGAGCUGGCAGAAGGCCGGCUUCCUCCAAGAUGGUCAUAUUCUCACCCCUGUCCCAGCCUUGACCAUGCAAGAGGGGAUGGUCUUGAAAUCAUUUCAUCUACAGUCUCCCCUGCCACAAGCUCCGUUUCCCCGCAGUGUUGCAAAUCUUAGUCUUGGAGCAUCCUUUCUAUAUGUUAGUCUAAGCGGUUUCAUUCCAGAGGAGAAAUGUGUCUUCCCUCUGCCUUUUUUUGGUGCUCCACUUCAUGUCUUUCCAAAAGCCCCCCUCAGUCUCUGUCUUUCGUGGCAACUUGGCAUCAUCCAGAACUUCUCUGCAUCGCAUUCAUUUAUCCACCGAUUUAGCAAAACUGUAUUAAGCCAGGCCCAGUGCCUGCCCUGGGGAGGGGAGGGGAGGAACAGGCAAUACAAACACGCCCAGGACAUGGUCCCUGCCCUCAAGGAUCUUCCAUUCUGCCAAGGGAGAGGCAGACACAGAGACGGACAGUUUUGGAGUUCCCAUUGUGGCUUGGUGGUAAUGAGCCUGACUAGUAUCCAGGAAGAUGCAGGCUUGAUCCCUGGCCUUGCUCAGUGGGUUAAGGAUCCGGUGUUGCCGUGAGCUGUGGUGUACAUCGCAGUCGUGGCUCGGAUCCCACAUUGCUGUGGCUAUGGUAUAGACCAGCAGCUGCAGCUGCCAUUUGACCCCUAGCCUGGGAACUUCCAUAUGCCAUGGGUGCGGCCCUAACAAGACGGACAGGCAGGCAGGCAGACAAGAAGGCAGGCUGGCAGGCAGGCAAGAUAGGAGAAAGAAAAAGAA
rnacentral:lncRNA from 1 species